ACAUUGAAACAGCGGUUCCCGUACGAUCACCGAAGUUAAGCAGUGUCGAGACUGGUCAGUAACCUUAUGGGUGUCAGCUUGGGAAUACCUGUUACUGUAAG